GUGUCAGCCGCCGCGGUAAAACGUAGGUGGCGAGCGUUAUCCGGAUUCACUGGGCGUAAAGCGCCUGCAGGCGGCCUGGCAAGUGGGACGUGAAAUCUCCCGGCUCAACUGGGAGGGGUCGUUCCAUACUGCUAGGCUGGAGGGCAGAAGAGGAAAGUGGAAUUCCCGGUGUAGUGGUGAAAUGCGUAGAGAUCGGGAGGAACACCAGUGGCGAAGGCGACUUUCUGGUCUGCCCCUGACGCUAAGAGGCGAAAGCUAGGGGAGCGAACGGGAUUAGAAACCCCUGUAGUCC
rnacentral:rRNA from 1 species